GUAUACAUUUGUAUGAAGCACCUGACUUUAAUAAAAGUCAGGACUGCUGUCCCCACGUGACUUUUGUAUAACAUCUCAGUGUAUAAAACAGACUCUGGAAAAUAAAGAAUGGGGAUCAGUUUCUCGAAAUACUGGUCUCCCAUGUCUCUCUCUCUCUCACUCUGGCUGAGUCUCCAUCUGGAGCGUGGAACCCACCAAGCUUACUAAUUUUGCCUGGGCUUCUAAGAUCCGACCGGGGAGGCCUCAGUGUCUCCUCUCCUUCGGGAGAGCGGAGGGCGCCUGCGGCCUCGUAAGUGGUGCAAGCUUCUUGUCUUGAAGUUUUAUUAGUCUCCCGCGUAAACCAAGCUACUCAGCCUCUUUUCUCCACUGAAUUUUCCUACUGAGCAUUCCUUAUUCUAUUACUCUUUAUAUGUUUAAUUAAUAUCUAAUUGAAGCUAUUGUAUCCUGACCCUCGCCGACGCCAUCCCUGCUUCGAAUACCCUGGAUCAGCCGGGGCUGGACCCCAGCACACCAACAGCUUGACUGUUCUUGGAGCUUUUAAACAAUGAGUUGAUUGUGGGCAAACAGAAGGCAAGGCACAUGAGAGAUAAUUAGCUUCUGUAUCUGGUGCUGGCUAAUAAGUAAAUAAUUUUCACAUAAACAUAGAAACCACUAAAUGUUAACUGCGUUUAUUUUUUUUAAUAGUUGUAAAAUGUAAUAAAAUGAGAUUUUCAGAAGCAUCUUGGUGACUGAGUAGAACAGCGUAAUUUAAAAACAAUUAAGUCACUGCCGCUCGGCUGUGUUGGAAGAUCCCACCUCACAUCGCCUGUCCCACCAGCUGCUGGCGGGUGGAGUGACCUUUCAUUAAAGACGUUUCCUUGUGUUUCUUCUCGUGGAAGCCAGAAGCCAGGAAGAGCACCCUGCUUAGAAAAGAGAGCGUUUGGUUCAUACAGUCUGCUUUGGUUUAUUUCAACAGGUAAAAAGUACAUUUUCUAUUCCCACCAGUGUUCAGUUGCUCCACUUUGGAAAUACUCUUCAGAUAAAGUAUCUGUAUGCCCGUGUGGUCAGCAGCCCCAAGCCACGCCAUCCCCUUGAUGACCGUCUGCUGGCCACUCCCCACAGGAUCAGCGUCUGCCAUAUCCCCGGCUGUGGGUCACAAUCUGAUGCUCUGAACUGAACCAAGGCAGCGAAAAGUAUCUUCUUAGAAAAUACCAAAAUGUAGCUAACUUGUGCUCUCUUCAUAAGGCUUGCAAAUGGGUAAUUAAAUAAGCAGAAUAUAACUCAUAAGCCAAAAAAAGUGCAUU
rnacentral:lncRNA from 1 species